rnacentral:piRNA from 1 species
UUCAAUUUGCACUGUACAGGUGGGUCCGC